GCGCGAAAACUUUACAAUGCUGGCAACAGCGAUAAGGGAACCUCGAGUGCCAGGUUACAAAUCUGGCUGUCGUGAUGCCUAAAAGGCAUUACACAGCAAGGGCCGGGCAAGACCGGUGCCAGCCGCCGCGGUAACACCGGCGGCUCGAGUGGUAACCGUUAUUAUUGGGUCUAAAGGGUCUGUAGCCGGCCGGAUAAGUCUCUUGGGAAAUCUGGCAGCUCAACUGUCAGGCUUUCAGGAGAUACUGUCUGGCUCGAGGCCGGGAGAGGUGAGAGGUACUUCAGGGGUAGGGGUGAAAUCUUGUAAUCCUUGAAGGACCACCAGAGGGGAAGGCGUCUCACCAGAACGGACCAGACGGCAAGGGACGAAAGCUAGGGGCACGAACCG
rnacentral:rRNA from 1 species